ACAGGAAGACAAACCAUGUAUCAGUUAAGGCCAAUACUUUAUUCCGAACAAUGAAUUAGUUUUCAUACUUUUUAAUUCUAAGAAAUCAAAACGGAAAGCACUUUGCACAGACACAACACAAAUAAUAGAUUGGUCGGAACCAAGAUUCAAAAGAUAGACAAUCACUAACCUAAAUCCAAUUCGUCUUACCUAGUAUCGAUAUCAGAUCCACUCCCAGAAUCCUAAUUCAUAUCAUGUCUCCUGAGUGGCCAUGGAUAUGAUACACUAAACCUCCUCGGCGUCGGCGAACUCUCAACCGUUCGUUGUCCGACUUCCCCACUGGUCUGACCUCCAUGAGUCAUGAACUUGUAAUCAGCAUCGUCUGUGGGGAACUCAUAUGACAAACAGGGCACGAGUUAUGAAGCUGCAACAAUGGAAGCAAGCAAACUUGAUGGCAAACGCGGUGGAUUUCGCCGUUUUAUAGGAAUACUGCGGGUUUGAUUACCGGGUAUGUAGAGUAGAGGAAGAGCGAGAGCCAUAGGCUUUACCUUCGUUAGUGGAGGUUUUUCGAUUUUGGUUUGAGUUAAAAUUUUGAAGAAACGAUCUUCAUAGGAGAAGAUACAUAGGGAGGAGGUGAAAGGAAACCAAAAAGGAGUAAAGGAUAUAAUUGAUUGACAAAGAAAGGGUUGUGGUAACGGAGAUUUGCAGGGAUACGAAACGGAGACGACAAAGGUGUGAGCCGUUUCGAGAAGUGAGCGUGACUGGACCAUUAGGAAAUAUCAUGAGCACACGAAAGUUUCGGUAUUUUUUUACCGAACAAAACUCUUAUGACAUGGCAAUUCAUCGAAGAUGACGUGGAUGAUUGUUUCAAUAUUAAUGGCUGAUUUUUUCUGCUGACGUGGACAGGUUUAGAGGACUUGAUAUCCUGCUUUUAGUAUUGUUAGAUUAACUCAUAAGAAUGACGAACUCUCUCUCCUCCCUAUAUUUCCUCUUCUUUGCUCGCUGAUGUUUGUUGUCUCGUGGUUUCUGGUUCCUUGCAGUUUGCUUCCACUUAUGUCGCGAAAGGAGCCCUAAUUUAAGUCUUGCUAGCGGGGAGAUCGACUCCGGGAUGCUCUUUGUUCGUGUUUGAAUUCUUGGCACAGAAAGGAACAGUUGCUAUUGGUGGGAGUCGGCUUUUUAGGGUUUCAUAAGGGAAAAUCCUUGUAGAAUUCACGGUCCAUGGAGAUGGUGCUUGGGCUCUGGUUGGCGGUGGGUCUCAGAUCUGCCUCUUUGGUCGCGAAUGGAGUGUUUUCGGCAGUUGGUUUGGCGGGUAUCCAUGGUGUCGUGGAGAGCUCCGAUCAGUGUAUUAGCGGCUGAGGGCUUCAGAGGUUUCUUUGCUCGAAGACUUGCCUAGCCAAAGGAACUGACAUGUGUCAUAUCCGGCGGUGAUGUCAUGUGGAGGCUUGUUGUGUCACAAAAUCGCAGUUGUCGUCCAUGGCUUCUCUGGUAUGAUGCGUGCAGCUUCCUUCUCAUCUGACUUUCUUCUUCCUGGUGCUUAUGUCUGGUUCAUUGCUGAAGCUCUGUCGACGGGUUUCUUUGGUUAUUCAGGUCAUGUCGUUAUUUGGUUCUGUUUCGUUGUCACGGGGACUUUUAUCUUGGUUUCCGAAUCCGGUUCUCGGAGGAGGUGACUGGCGUAAUCGUGGUUGACGCUUGAGUAUGUGUUCACCUCUUUCUUACAGUUACACUAGUCGGAGUGCCAUAUCCCAUUUCUGUUAGCCACGCUUGUUGCUCUUAGUAAUUUUCCUUUCUAACACCAUUUUUCAGGUCAUAGAGCUCUUCUCGGGUUAUGUGCAGAUGUAUUAUUUUUCCCGGUUUUAUGCAUUCCGUUAUUGACGGAGGAUAUCGUUCGAUU